rnacentral:rRNA from 1 species
GACGAACGCUGGCGGCGUGCUUAACACAUGCAAGUCGAACGGAAAGGCCCUGCUUUUGUGGGGUGCUCGAGUGGCGAACGGGUGAGUAACACGUGAGUAACCUGCCCUUGACUUUGGGAUAACUUCAGGAAACUGGGGCUAAUACCGGAUAGGAGCUCCUGCUGCAUGGUGGGGGUUGGAAAGUUUCGGCGGUUGUGGAUGGACUCGCGGCUUAUCAGCUUGUUGGUGGGGUAGUGGCUUACCAAGGCUUUGACGGGUAGCCGGCCUGAGAGGGUGACCGGCCACAUUGGGACUGAGAUACGGCCCAGACUCCUACGGGAGGCAGCAGUGGAGAAUAUUGCACAAUGGGCGGAAGCCUGAUACAGCAACGCCGCGUGCGGGAUGACGGCCUUCGGGUUGUAAACCGCUUUCGCCUGUGACGAAGCGUGAGUGACGGUAAUGGGUAAAGAAGCACCGGCUAACUACGUG